rnacentral:rRNA from 1 species
UACGGAGAGUGCAAGCGUUAUCCGGAUUCACUGGGUUUAAAGGGUCCGUAGGCGGUUUGGUAAGUCAGUGGUGAAAGCCCAUCGCUCAACGGUGGAACGGCCAUUGAUACUGCCAGACUUGAAUUAUUAGGAAGUAACUAGAAUAUGUAGUGUAGCGGUGAAAUGCUUAGAGAUUACAUGGAAUACCAAUUGCGAAGGCAGGUUACUACUAAUGGAUUGACGCUGAUGGACGAAAGCGUGGGUAGCGAACAGG